UAAAUAUUACCUCCGUCCUAAAAUUCUUGUCUUAGAUUUGUCCAGAUAUGGAUGUAUCUAACAUUAAAUACAUCGGUAUUUAGAUAAAUCUAAGACAAGAAUUUCGGGACGAGGGGAGUAGUAA
rfam:Triticum aestivum genome assembly, contig: Triticum_aestivum_CS42_TGACv1_scaffold_159344_2DL